GACGAACGCUGGCGGCGUGCUUAACACAUGCAAGUCGAACGGAAAGGCCCUGCUUUUGUGGGGUGCUCGAGUGGCGAACGGGUGAGUAACACGUGAGUAACCUGCCCUUGACUUUGGGAUAACUUCAGGAAACUGGGGCUAAUACCGGAUAGGAGCUCCUGCUGCAUGGUGGGGGUUGGAAAGUUUCGGCGGUUGGGGAUGGACUCGCGGCUUAUCAGCUUGUUGGUGGGGUAGUGGCUUACCAAGGCUUUGACGGGUAGCCGGCCUGGGAGGGUGACCGGCCACAUGGGGACUGAGAUACGGCCCAGACUCCUACGGGAGGCAGCAGUGGGGAAUAUUGCACAAUGGGCGGAAGCCUGAUGCAGCAACGCCGCGUGCGGGAUGACGGCCUUCGGGUUGUAAACCGCUUUCGCCUGUGACGAAGCGUGAGUGACGGUAAUGGGUAAAGAAGCACCGGCUAACUACGUG
rnacentral:rRNA from 1 species